AUUGAACGCUGGCGGCAGGCCUAACACAUGCAAGUCGAGCGGAUGAGAAGAGCUUGCUCUUCGAUUCAGCGGCGGACGGGUGAGUAAUGCCUAGGAAUCUGCCUGGUAGUGGGGGACAACGUCUCGAAAGGGACGCUAAUACCGCAUACGUCCUACGGGAGAAAGCAGGGGACCUUCGGGCCUUGCGCUAUCAGCUGAGCCUAGGUCGGAUUAGCUUGUUGGUGGGGUAAUGGCUCACCAAGGCGACGAUCCGUAACUGGUCUGAGAGGAUGAUCAGUCACACUGGAACUGAGACACGGUCCAGACUCCUACGGGAGGCAGCAGUGGGGAAUAUUGGACAAUGGGCGAAAGCCUGAUCCAGCCAUGCCGCGUGUGUGAAGAAGGUCUUCGGAUUGUAAAGCACUUUAAGUUGGGAGGAAGGGCAGUCAGCGAAUACCUGGUUGUUUUGACGUUACCGACAGAAUAAGCACCGGCUAACUCUGUGCCAGCAGCCGCCGUAAUAC
rnacentral:rRNA from 1 species